rnacentral:rRNA from 1 species
UACGUAUGGGGCAAGCGUUAUCCGGAUUUACUGGGCGUAAAGGGUGCGUAGGUGGUUUAGCAAGUUAGUAGCGUAACUCCGGAGCUCAACUUCGGAACUACUACUAAAACUGUUGAACUUGAGUACAGGAGGGGCAGGCGGAAUUCCUGGUGUAGCGGUGAAAUGCGUAGAUAUCAGGAGGAACACCGGCGGCGAAGGCGGCCUGCUGGACUGAAACUGACGUUGAGGCUCGAAAGCGUGGGGAGCAAACAGG